rnacentral:rRNA from 1 species
AAUGGGGGAAACCCUGACGCAGCAACGCCGCGUGGAGGAAGAAGGUCUUCGGAUUGUAAACUCCUGUCUUCCGGGACGAUAAUGACGGUACCGGAGGAGGAAGCCACGGCUAACUACGUGCCAGCAGCCGCGGUAAUACGUAGGUGGCGAGCGUUGUCCGGAAUUACUGGGCGUAAAGGGCGCGUAGGCGGCUCUUUAAGUUAGAUGUGAAAACCCAGGGCUUAACUCUGGGACUGCAUUUAAAACUGAAGGGCUCGAGUGCAGGAGAGGUAAGUGGAAUUCCUAGUGUAGCGGUGAAAUGCGUAGAUAUUAGGAGGAACACCAGUGGCGAAGGCGACUUACUGGACUGUAACUGACGCUGAGGCGCGAAAGCGUGGGGAGCAAA